CUCCGUGCCAGCAGCCGCGGUAAUACGGAGGGUGCAAGCGUUGUCCGGAAUCAUUGGGCGUAAAGAGUUCGUAGGUGGUUUGUUAAGUUUGGUGUUAAAUGCAGAGGCUCAACUUCUGUUCGGCAUCGGAUACUGGCAGACUAGAAUGCGGUAGAGGUAAAGGGAAUUCCUGGUGUAGCGGUGAAAUGCGUAGAUAUCAGGAGGAACAUCGGUGGCGUAAGCGCUUUACUGGGCCGUAAUUGACACUGAGGAACGAAAGCCAGGGUAGCAAAUGGGAUUAGAUACCCCAGUAGUCCUGGCCGUAAACGAUGGAUACUAGGUGUUGCGGGUAUCGACCCCUGCAGUGCCGUAGCUAACGCGUUAAGUAUCCCGCCUGGGGAGUACGCACGCAAGUGUGAAACUCAAAGGAAUUGACGGGGACCCGCACAAGCGGUGGAACAUGUGGUUUAAUUCGAAGCAACGCGAAGAACCUUACCAGGGCUUGACAUCUAACAAACCUUUGUGAAAGCAAAGGGUGCUCUUCGGAGAAUGUUAAGACAGGUGGUGCACGGUUGUCGUCAGCUCGUGUCGUGAGAUGUUGGGUUAAGUCCCGCAACGAGCGCAACCCUCGUCGUUAGUUGGUACUAUCGGUAUACUUAUAGUAACCUCUCUAGCGAGACUGCCGGUGAUAAACCGGAGGAAGGUGAGGACGACGUCAAAUCAUCAUGCCCCUUAUGCUCUGGGCUACACACGUGUUACAAUGGCCGGUACAAUGAGCCGCCAACUCGCGAGAGUGAGCAAAUCUCUAAAAGCCGGUCUCAGUUCGGAUUGCAGUCUGCAACUCGACUGCAUGAAGUCGGAAUCGCUAGUAAACGCAGAUCAGCACGCUGCGUUGAAUACGUUCCCGGGUCUUGUACACACCGCCCGUCACACCAUGGAAGUCGACCACGCCCGAAGUACGUGAGCUAACCGUAAGGAAGCAGCGUCCUAAGGCAGGGUUGGUGACUGGGGUGAAGUCGUAACAAGGUAGCCGUACCGGAAGGUGUGGCUG
rnacentral:rRNA from 1 species